AUGUUGCUCUACGGUUUACUGAAGAUGGUUACAGUUUCACUGUGGCUCGGAUCUGGCAUAGGUCAGAAGGUAACUCAAGCUCAGCCAGCAAUGUUGGUGCAGGAGAAGGAGACUUUGACUCUGGACUGUACAUAUGACACCCGUGCUGGAGAUUAUGGUCUAUUCUGGUACAAGCAGCCUAGCAGUGGGGAGAUAAUUUUGCUUAUUCAUCAGGAUUCUUAUAACCAACAAAAUGCAACAGAAAGUCGCUAUUCAUUGAAUUUCCAGAGGGCAAGCAAAUCCAUCAGCCUUGUCAUCUCAGCUUCACAAUUGCGGGACACAGCAAUGUAUUUCUGUGCACUGAGAGAGGCCACAGUGAGAGAUUUGCUGGAGGGAGAUGUACAAAAAUCCCAGGGAUCUGCUUGA